AAUAUCAGAAGAGUGUAUUUUACAAUAAAUAUCGGUGGUUUUUACUAGUUGACAAUAGAGACAUCGUUAUCAUAUUCCUUAUUACAAGUAAACAGAAAACAAACGACUUAAUUCAUAAAGUCAACAAAUUACAUAAAACUAUCCACAGUUGUUAACAAAAGUUGGCCUCGCAUAAAGAUAAAAUACUGGCAUUUAUUCAGGUUUCUUUACCACAAGUCAACAAAUUAGAUUUACACUUGGAGACGGAAAAGGGGAAUGAAUUCGAAAGAAACGUCAAGCCAGCCGGUUGAGAACUAGACGAGGGCGGGGAUUUGUUCAUAAAACUUGGAGCACAUUUGUUGGCAUUUGAAGUUGAUGGAAAGCUGGAAAGAAUAGGAAAAUUAGGUUCUGUACUGGACUUUAUAUUUUGGCUGGACUUAUCACCUACAGUUUGAUUUCCUGCAGUACUGGAAGUAGCACCACCAGAGCCAAUGAUUGAUGUAAGAGCAGCUGCUAAUGCAAAUUGGAAACUUGGGUCCGAAGUAAUUGCUUUUGUGGCAGCUGCAAUUGUAUCUGGUGGAAGAGACUGUUGUGUAGGAUUUAGAUUCUUUUGAAAACAAUACAAUGUUCCCGCUUAGU
rnacentral:lncRNA from 1 species